UGGGUGGGGGUUUACAUGAAACCUUUUCAUGCCGCUCCUGAGCAGGAACUUCUCUAUGAAAGAAGAGUUUUACAGAAAUGCAGGACACAUUUAUCUCCAUGUCGAAGGGAAAUCCAACACUGGGACAGAAGAACUUUUAACCAAAGUGGUAAAUUGUGUAAAGCAUGCAGGAUCUUAGUUUCCCGACCAGGGAUUGAACCUGCACCCCCUGCAGUGGAAGCACAGAGUCUUAACCACUGGACCUCCAGGGAAAUCUUCAUCUAACUUUUAGAUAAGAUCAUCAUGUUAGCAACUCAGUUUUGCUACAAUGCAAAAACCCGACAAGAGACGGACAGAUAUGAAAUCACAAGUAGUGAACUAUCCCAGCACCAUGUGGGGCUGCCAGUCAAUAAUGGCACCCAUCAUGGGCACGGGUGAAGCUCAGGAAUUGUGUGUUCGAUGAAUGUGUUUUCUGAGAUCCUCUUCACAAACCCUCCAGAAUGGUUGCCAUGGCGCCCCCUGUUACUGUGGCAAAACAGCAUCUUAGCCUGGCUGCCAGAACCAUCUGUUAAGUAUGUCCUGAAAGCCUCAACCUGCUUGUGCCCCAUGUAUGAAGAUUGAAAGAGGAGUGACGGCUACAAGUCUUUUGUUAAUUUAGGGGCGACUUUUAAAAUUCAUUAGAAAGAAUGGACUUUUCUGUUAGCAUUUUUUAAAGAAUAUAAACAUAAUGAUUCUGAAGAGUUUAAAAUGACACAUUAAAAUGCUCAUAAAAUUAUCUUAAGUGUUAAAUGCAAAAUACAAAAUUGUUUUACAGUGUGAUCUCAACUUUGUAAGUAUAUACACAGAUAUUUAUGGAGAAUUUCAUGGGAAAAGAUGGGAAGGAAAUAUGCCAGGAUGUUUACAGUGAUUGUCUCUGGAGAGGGAAUUAUGAAGGAUUGUAUUUACAUUUCUGUCCUUUUGCUUACUCUUACAAUGUUCUAUAACGAGUAGGUGUUACUCUUAGAAUUAUAAAAAGUAGUAUAGAAGUUUUACUUGUUGCCUUUUGUUUAAAAAGGUAAUACAUUCCUAUGGUUCAGAAAUUAAAACACUUUAACAGAUACACAUUGCCUCUGUUUCUGUUCUGAUCUCCCCACCACUCUAUGAAAACUACUCAUAGCCUCCUUUCUGAGUUUCUUUAUGAAGAUGUAAGCAUAUAUAAUGCAUACUGUUAUUUUCUCCCCUUUCUUACACACAACGUAGCAUUACAUUCACUUCUUUGACCUUUGCUUUUUUUUUCACUUAAUUUAUCUCAGUGAUAUUUCCACAGGAGUACAUAAAUACCCAUUUGUUUUCACAGCUGCAUAGUACUCCAUUGUGUGAUGUUUUAGCUUUUAUUCAACCAGUUCCCUGUGGAUGGAUAUUUGGAUUGCUUCCUAGUUUCUACUAUUAUAAAAAGGAAUGCUG